CCCUUAGAUGUUCUGGGCCGCACACGCGCUACACUGAAGGAGGCAGCGUGUACUCCUGGAUCGAAAGAUUUGGGUAACCCGCGAAUCUCCUUCGUGCUAGGGAUUGAGGUUUGCAAUUAUCCUUCAUGAACGAGGAAUUCCCAGUAAGUGCAAGUCAUAAGCUUGCGCUGACUACGUCCCUGCCCUUUGUACACACCGCCCGUCGCUACUAUUGAUUGAAUGAUUUAGUGAGGACUUCGGACUGGGACCGAUGCGGCUUUCGGGCUGCGUCGGUAUUCUGGAAAGAUGUCCAAACUGUAUCAUUUAGAGGAAGUAAAAGUCGUAACA
rnacentral:rRNA from 1 species